AGAAAUGUAUUCAGCAAGCUAAUGGGAAUUAGGGCAGGCAAUUUCUUAAAAAAAACGUAAAGUACAGGAACAUGUUCUCUGUUUGGGUUGACUUGUUCUGUGGGAUUGCCCAGCCCAGACAGUUUUCGAACAGUAGCUGGUUGCUUUUCCCUUUUCUCUUGCAGGACACAUCACACGUGGAUGGAGACAAGCCCAUCCUGCGAGCACAACACCAGCAUCAGAACCUCCUCUGGCUCGUGCUUUCCCUGAAGAUGAGGCUAAAGAGGAGGGCGAUGCCAAGGAAUUUCCACGUGUUGCCACUCCACAGCUUGACCACCCCGAAGCAGUAAGUGGCAGCUUUGGUUGGCACUGUCUCUGGUGCAGUGCAGAGCUGCAAGUUCCUGCUCAGACAGCAUUUGCCCUUUGUGGCUGAAGAUUCUGA